rnacentral:rRNA from 1 species
UAAGGAAUAUUGCGCAAUGGGCGAAAGCCUGACGCAGCGACGCCGCGUGGGUGAAGAAGGUUUUCGGAUCGUAAAACCCUUUUCUGUGUGACGAGCAAGGACGGUAGCACAGGAAUAAGUCUCGGCUAACUACGUGCCAGCAGCCGCGGUAAAACGUAGGAGACAAACGUUAUCCGGAGUUACUGGGCGUAAAGGGCGUGCAGGCGGCAGUCUAAGUCUGGCGUGAAAGAUCCCGGCUUAACCGGGGAAGGUCGUCGGAUACUGGGCAGCUAGAGGGCGGUAGAGGCGUGUGGAAUUCCGGGUGUAGUGGUGAAAUGCGUAGAGAUCCGGAGGAACACCAGUGGCGAAGGCGACACGCUGGGCCGCACCUGACGCUAAGACGCGACAGCAUGGGGAGCAAACAGGAUUAGAUACCCCCGUAGUCCCUGAGCGGGCUGGCAAGGCGCAU